rnacentral:lncRNA from 1 species
CAGGUGCAGCCGAGCUUGUCCCUUCUGUCCUAGCUCUCUUCACUGACCCCGAAGUCGAGGCAUCUUUCCUCUUGUGGGUCUUGAGACCCUGAGCUAGCUUCCAAGCCACGCUUGCGUCCAUAUCUGCGAUGAAAGGAAAUCAACAUGGCUUGGAGGUGAAAAAGAAAAAAAAAUGAAUGAAUGAAAUGAUGAAUCGGUACCGGCAGGAUCAAGAGGGCUCAGGCCGACGUUGAACAAAAGUUGUUCCCUCAGAAGGUCAGGG